GAUGAACGCUGGCGGCGUGCUUAACACAUGCAAGUCGAACGGAAAGGCCCAAGCUUGCUUGGGUACUCGAGUGGCGAACGGGUGAGUAACACGUGGGUGAUCUGCCCUGCACUUCGGGAUAAGCCUGGGAAACUGGGUCUAAUACCGGAUAGGACCACAUUUUGGAUGGUGUGGUGGAGAGUUUUUCGGUGUGGGAUGAGCUCGCGGCCUAUCAGCUUGUUGGUGGGGUAAUGGCCUACCAAGGCGUCGACGGGUAGCCGGCCUGAGAGGGUGUACGGCCACAUUGGGACUGAGAUACGGCCCAGACUCCUACGGGAGGCAGCAGUGGGGAAUAUUGCACAAUGGGCGCAAGCCUGAUGCAGCGACGCCGCGUGGGGGAUGACGGCCUUCGGGUUGUAAACUCCUUUCGCUAGGGACGAAGCGCAAGUGACGGUACCUGGAGAAGAAGCACCGGCUAACUACGUG
rnacentral:rRNA from 1 species